rnacentral:rRNA from 1 species
CUACGGGAGGCACCAGGCGCGUAACCUCUACAAUGCACGAAAGUGUGAUAGGGGGAUCCUGAGUGCUCAGCUCUGCUGGGCUUUUGCCAAGAGUAAAAACCUUGGCGAAUAAGCGGUGGGUAAGACUGGUGCCAGCCGCCGCGGUAACACCAGCGCCGCAAGUGGUAAUCGCUAUUAUUGGGCCUAAAGCGUCCGUAGCAGGUUUUGUAAAUCUUAUGUGAAAUUGUUGCGCUUAACGUAACAACGUGCAUGAGACACUGCAAAACUUGGGACCGGGAGGAGUCAAAGGUAUUCCUUGGGGAGCGGUAAAAUGCUAUAAUCCAAGGAGGACCACCUAUGGCGAAGGCAUUUGACUAGAACGGAUCCGACUGUGAGGGACGAAAGCCAGGGGAGCGAACCGGAUUAGAUACCCUGGUAGUC